rnacentral:tRNA from 1 species
GGACUCUGGCUCAGUGGACGAGCAAGUUGCUUAGUGUGCAGAAGGUCCCAGGUUCAAUCCCUGGCAUCUCUA